CCCAGACUCCUACGGGAGGCAGCAGUGGGGAAUAUUGGACAAUGGGGGGAACCCUGAUCCAGCGACGCCGCGUGAGUGAAGAAGUAUUUCGGUAUGUAAAGCUCUAUCAGCAGGGAAGAAAGAAAUGACGGUACCUGACUAAGAAGCCCCGGCUAACUACGUGCCAGCAGCCGCGGUAAUACGUAGGGGGCAAGCGUUAUCCGGAUUUACUGGGUGUAAAGGGAGCGUAGACGGCGAUGCAAGCCAGGAGUGAAAGCCCGGGGCCCAACCCCGGGACUGCUCUUGGAACUGCGUGGCUGGAGUGCAGGAGGGGCAGGCGGAAUUCCUGGUGUAGCGGUGAAAUGCGUAGAUAUCAGGAGGAACACCGGUGGCGAGGGCGGCCUGCUGGACUGCAACUGACGUUGAGGCCCGAAAGCGUGGGGAGCAAACAGGAUUAGAUACCCGUGUA
rnacentral:rRNA from 1 species